GUGGGGAAUAUUGGACAAUGGGCGAAAGCCUGAUCCAGCCAUGCCGCGUGUGUGAAGAAGGUCUUCGGAUUGUAAAGCACUUUAAGUUGGGAGGAAGGGUAGUAACCUAAUACGUUGCUACUUUGACGUUACCGACAGAAUAAGCACCGGCUAACUUCGUGCCAGCAGCCGCGGUAAUACGAAGGGUGCAAGCGUUAAUCGGAAUUACUGGGCGUAAAGCGCGCGUAGGUGGUUCAGUAAGUUGGAAGUGACAUCCCCGGGCUCAACCUGGGAACUGCUUUCAAAACUGCUGAGCUAGAGUACGGUAGAGUGUGGUGGAAUUUCCUGUGUAGCGGUGAAAUGCGUAGAUAUAGGAAGGAACACCAGUGGCGAAGGCGACCACCUGGACUGAUACUGACACUGAGGUGCGAAAGCGUGGGGAGCAAACAGGAUUAGAUACCCCUGUAGUCC
rnacentral:rRNA from 1 species